GUACUAUCAACAUCUUUCGCCACGCGGUUAAGCAGUGCGACGCACUUGGAAGUUUCCCAGCUUAACCGCGCGGAAUAAGGGAAAUACGAUUUUUGUUUCACCUCGCAAACGAAAUACCUCUCCUACCUCCAAAGCAUGCGUCAGCCGGUCCUUCCACCAAAGAAUGAAUGCGAUUAAGAACGAAAGUGAUUGGAAUCGAACGGAAUGAAACUGUUUGAAUGAUUAUGAAAUGCGAGGGUUUGCGUGACAACCGCUGUAGUUUGAAAUUGUCGACCGACGUUCAAGAACGUUCGAGACAAGAGGUCGACUAAGGCAAUAAACAUCGGCAACGAACAUCUGGGAAACGUUAAACGUAAAACGUUUCAAAUAUAUGUAUAUCGUUAAUAAUUAACACGCGAGUCUACUGUUAGAUAAAUGCAACAAACCAUAUGCAUAGAUCCGCGAUUUAACGAUAACAAUAAAAUAUCGAUUGCCUUAUUACGUAAACCGCCGAAACGCGAAUAAGGAACGGAAUAAUUAACAGUAUUCAACUAAUAGUCGUUCAAUACAGUAAAUCAAACAUCUAUUAUAAAACGUAGACCUCCUUCGAUACUGGAAACGUCAUUUAUAAAAGCCUCUUUGAUUAACGAAUUCAAAUAAAACCAAGUCGUAAUACAUUUCGAACAUUCCAGAAGUAUUAGGAUUGCGACGCACGAAUUUCGCAGAAUAGAGGGGUAGAAAGAAAUAGACAACGCUAGACAAAGGCAACGUGAAAGGUCAAGAAGGGAUGAGAACUCGGGAAACGCGCCUAGACCAACCUAUACGCGCGGGCCUUCCCCUUCGACACGUAUCCUGAUUUGCCAAAUGAUGUCCCUACUUUGGGGUACCGAUCGCGGGUCGAACCCUGAGACACGAUCGCUUGACUGAGGCAAAUCACUCUUCGUCGAAAAAUCGUGAGGUACUUGACGGGGAGACCGUGUUCGCGUUAGAGACAGAGUUGUCGCGGAAAAUAUCGUAAUUAGCUGCUCGGCAAAGUUCCUUCGCGUAGCAAGGCAGAGUGUCGAGAUUGUGCGAUUCGUGUUUCUCGCGGCAAGGACUCAUACGGAUACGUUAAAUUUCAUACUUUUCAAUUAACUAUCUUUUUCUUUCGUUUUUAAAUCGUUCGCUAAUUAAUAUUUAUGUUUUCCGCGUCGCGUCGCUUUUGAAGUCAGUUUUCGUACCGCUUCGUAAAUAAUCGUUUUCCGUAACAGUAAAACCGUAAUAAAGGGCCGAUCGCGAACGCGUUGUGCAAGUGAUCAUCUUUUCUUCGCCUUCCAGAUUUCUAGACAACACCAGCGACCACUAAGCGAAUCCAAAAUCUUAUCAUAUAUUAUAUUACAUCGAGCUUGGUAAGUUGUCCAUUUCAUUUCUAUUCAAUACGACGAAUCUGGAUUUAAUGAGGCAAAACGGGCGAUCUACGGAACCGCGUGUUCUGGAAAAUUUCCCACUGGAUCGUUCCUUUAAACACUGCGAUUUAAGGUAUCGAAACAUUAAUAUUUCCAAAUAAAAUUCCGAUCGCACUCAAAGAAGACAGCCCCACGAAACCGUGGUUUUGGUAGUAUCCCCCUGGGACCGUUCUCUCUUUUUCGCGUACUAAUUGUUCACCGAACAUCGUCGCUCGAACCAUCAAAUCAAAAAUUUAACUAAUCGAAAAUUCAAUAGAUUUCAUUUUUAUAUAAUUUUAUACUUUUCUUGACAUCAUAUAUUUCAUUCAUUUCUUUUGUAUUUCAAGCAGCUCGUAUUUCCUGUCAACUAACCAUUUUAUUGUUAUGCUUAUUUUUCCAAAAUUAUAUUUUUGUUACACAUAACCAGUUUCUAAUUCAUUUGCGUUUCAAACACACUUGUUGGAUUCCAAGGAAUUAAACAACACGUAGAGAAUACUCUUACUUAGAAACGUUUAUUAUGAAAUGCGCACUCGACUAGUAGGUACUGAAAUCUGCCCUGGUAAAGCUCUGUAAGCUUUUUAUAUACUAUUGGUGGAAACUGGAUAGUGGUAGGGAUGAUGGUUAAGGAACAGUGUGACUAUGGAAAGGUACAAAGUGCAGGAUGAGUGAGGAAUAGGGACGAUGGUCAGGGUACGAAGUGCAAGAUGAAUCAGGAAUAGGGGUGAUGUCAAGGAACAGUGUGACUAAGGAAAGGAAUGAAAUGCAGGAUGAGUAAAGGUUAGGAGUCAUGGUUAGAAUGUUUGGCUGAGGAUGAAUCUAUAGUGUUUGUGUUGCGAUUAGUGGCGUUGGUUAUCCAACACACUUCCUUCCUUCACGUUCACGCUUACCAUCUUCGCACAAAUUCAUAUGAGGGGCCCGUAUGGGACCAGAGCAUUGACGAACUCAAUUAAUCUAUCAAUUAAUCGUACUAAUUCUUUUUAUUGUUCUAAUCGUGAGUGAUCCAACGUCGUCACAAGCGAUUAGGACUGGUGGCAGCGCUAAUACCGUUCUCAACCGUGUAUUAACCACUCAGAAAGUAAAGAAAUUUAUCUUUUAGCGCCGUACCUCGCUCGCGACGUAACACUGUAUAACAACCGGCAAUUAUAAAUACGUAAUCACCAGUUUAUUACAUUUACUGUAACAUAUAUAAUAUAUUUUUCAAACGAAUGUCCCCCAGCUUCCGUUCAGAGAAAAGAGGAGUGGAGAAUCGACGCGUCGACUCGGUGUGGGGGAUUAUUGUUUUCGAAUAAAAAUUUUUCUAUAAAAUCGAGCGGAAAAGGGAUGUAGUCCGCGCGACGAGCGGAAAAAUAUCGGUGACAGCAAUCGCCGAAACAAUCCAUGCGAGAAGAAUGAGUCUCGAGUGUACCUCUCGAUUCCAUGUGUAAACCCUUCUCCAUAAAUCGUUCCGUGUGACUAGGAACAGAGGCUCGGGUACUGCACGAUUAAUUUUUAAAGAUCGCUUUUAAAUUGUUUUAUCUCUCCGAAGAUUCCAGAUAGACUGAUUAAAUCCACAUUUCCAUCAAGUUCUAUAAUGCGAAAAGGAAGAACAAGUAUGAAGUGGCAGGAAUAAUCUGAUACAGGCUCCAGUAUGCUUGGACAUUGCAUGGAUUUCUCUGCUUAUUGUAAAUGGGCCAGAUAUUCGGCUUUGAAGAGAGCUCUGCAAGCGCUUCAUUUCAAGCUCUUUGCUAUGUAUGUAUGUGUGUUGAUGCAGCAGCAAUGAUGUGUCCGAUAUCUUUGAUAUGCAUGGUAAAAAGCGAUGCUAUGGGUCAAUCGAGCGACGAGCAUGUAAAAUGAAGAAACAAGAGAAAAAAUACAUGAAUUCCAGAGGAUUUUUAGCUGUGAAACAUGCACGUUAUUUCCAUCAGAAAUAGAAUCUCUGUAGAGAGUUAAAUAUUCACUCUUCGUCAUUACUUUUUUUCUAUUAACGCAUAAAAUUACUGAAGAAUUCUGAGAGAAUCCAGGAACAAGGAAAACUUGUGAUGCAGCCAGAUGUGUAUAACAGAUUGAUAAAUUGAAAGGUUGUACAGAAAUAGUUCAGAAAGUAUCGAUGCACCUGCUAAUUGGACCAGAAAAUUCUUUGCUUAAUCCUUGACCGAUUCUUGGCGACACGACUUUUCCUGUACACCGGCUAAGGCAAUCCUUUCACGCGAGUUAUUGGAAAAGUUGGAGCAGCAAGGCUCCUAUUGGAGGCCAGACACGGUGUGCAUUUUUAUGCGAGCGGGAGCAACAACCUUUUGUAGUCGAAAAAGCCCGCCGUGAAAUAUCAUUAUACCGUGGCGAGCGAAUAUUCACUAGGAUAUAUUUGCCCACAGCCCCCGACGUUUUCUGGUUUGUCAACGUCACGUCGUUUUGAUUGCUACUUUCCCUGUACUUGGCUACCUGGAAAGCUCUGCAACCGAGAAUACGGAUCCUGUUUGAAAGAAACUUCUUCCGCUUUCAGGGCCCAGCAAUGUUUAAUUAACUUUCCACUUUGCUCUCCAAAUGGAAAUUAUUUCUUAUGCAAGCUUCAAUAAAUGAAGUUGCAAUUUAA